CCCACACAAUAUUUUCAAUCUUUAGGUUAUCACAGCACAAGAAUCAGCCAAACAAGAAUUUGACCAAUCACAAAUACACUUUACUGUUUCAACCUAUUCCUCCUAGUUCCCAGCAUAUUCUCUGUAAAACAACCUUUAAGAGUUUGAAGACAGUCAUCUUGAAAUUAUUAACAGUUUAAAUUAGAAUACUGUGAUAAGGUGAAGAUCAAAGCUUAUACUGAUGCAUAUGAAUCCCAAGGACCAAGCUUGUGAAGGAUACCAUAGUAGAAUUGAUUAAGCGUAUGAGAAGUCUCAGAAUCACACACCCCAUGAAGCAGAGAAUAACUUUGGGUUAGAA